rfam:Mastigocoleus testarum BC008 Contig-2, whole genome shotgun sequence.
UAAUUGAAUAGGUAAAAGCCAGAGACAGUAGGUUCCCUUCGGGGGUAAUUUCCUACCGAGGUUCACACCUUUGAAAAACUUUGUAGAGACUUCUGUUUCUUAAUGUCUCUGAAAGACUCUGGCUCGUGGCAGUCAGAGUCUAUUGUUUUGGCAGA